rnacentral:lncRNA from 1 species
AACAUUUUCCUCUAUCUUUUCUGUUUAGAGUGAUGGCUCAGGUUUCCUAAGUCUGAUAUUUUGGGUUCUUCCAGAGCUAGAAGCAAACAUUAGUUCCGCUCUACUUUUGGGAAGUGUCUUUGUUGCAUUGGGGAAAGCUCCUUUCCUCUCUUUCAGUGCUUGAAAACAUCAGACUUCAGCCUUGCCGUUCAGAACUACUGUUGUUUUGCAGGGUAAAGAAACUGAAGUCAAGAGAGCUAAUGCAACUUGUUCCAAGGCCACACAAAGCCUCUUUUUUAUGUUGGAGAAAUUGUAGAAAAAUGAACAAUAACUGCAUUACAAAGAAUUAACAAACCAAAUUUUGAAUGUAAAUUACCUCAACCUAAAGCAUUUCAGAUAGCUAAAAUCAAGUAGAUGUAGUACUUACUCCUUUCAAUUUAUUACUGUGGGAUCUCAUGUAAUUUAGUUGUACAAUAUCUACAUUAUAGACCUAUAAAAUUCAGUAAGAUGCCUCCUACACUACAUGCUUUAUCUUAAAUAUUCAAGUUUCUUAUGUUGAGUAAUUAUUUAUUCUUUUAUGUAAGUCUUAGUCUCUUUUAAGUCUUAAAAUGCAGAUACUGACUCAGCUGAAAAAUUAUUGGAUACUUGCUUCUCUCCUUCAUGUCAGUAGCAAAACUGUACAUAUCACAUGCACAUGUACAGUAAAUAAGUAAUAUAUAUGAAUACAACUUCAAGCUGAAUCCAUUUGCCCUAAUUUCAGCUGCCCAAACUUGAUCUAGUCACCUGGGCUUCCUUCAGAAGAAAUGCCAGCCUCUCAUAAGUGUGGUCAUUCCACGUCAAAUAUAUGAUCAGGAUAGUUCAGUUGAAUCACUUUCUGGAGGUGCCAAUUUCUCUCCAUUAAGAGAAAGAAAACAGGAAGUGCCCAGCUCAGACACAGAUAUCUGAAGCUGGGUGAGAUACAAUAGUGAUUCUAACCUUGCACUUGACCUUGUGUUUAACCAUGCAUUACCUCACUAGAAUAACCCUGGGCAGUCCUUAAUCCCAGCAAAGAUGCCAUGUGCUGCCCACCACUGUGUCACUGUUUUGCAUUCAGUUUCACUGAAACAUUUACCAUUUCUUAAAUGCAACAGAAAUAAAAACUCAAUGAAUUGCUGAUUGAUUUACCA